rnacentral:rRNA from 1 species
AACGAACGCUGGCGGCAUGCCUAAUACAUGCAAGUCGAACGAGAUCUUCGGAUCUAGUGGCGCACGGGUGCGUAACGCGUGGGAAUCUGCCCUUGGGUUCGGAAUAACUUCUGGAAACGGAAGCUAAUACCGGAUGAUGACGUAAGUCCAAAGAUUUAUCGCCCAAGGAUGAGCCCGCGUAGGAUUAGCUAGUUGGUGGGGUAAAGGCCCACCAAGGCGACAAUCCUUAGCUGGUCUGAGAGGAUGAUCAGCCACACUGGGACUGAGACACGGCCCAGACUCCUACGGGAGGCAGCAGUAGGGAAUAUUGGACAAUGGGCGAAAGCCUGAUCCAGCAAUGCCGCGUGAGUGAUGAAGGCCUUAGGGUUGUAAAGCUCUUUUACCCGGGAUGAUAAUGACAGUACCGGGAGAAUAAGCUCCGGCUAACUCCGUGCCAGCCGCCGCCGUAA